ACUCCCCCGCCCCCCGCGGCGCCGGAUCCGGCCGCCCCAGCCGGGUCUGGCCCCUCGGCCUUCGCCCCCAAGGACCUGGUCUGGGGCAAGAAGCUCUCCCACCCGUCCUGGCCGGGGGAGGUCCUCUCCGUCGCCUCCGGCGGCACCCAGCUCCUCGUCUCCUUCUUCGGCGAGAAGGCCCUCGCCUGGUGCGAUGCGGCCCAGCUCAGGCCCUACGAGGCCUACUUCACCGUGGGGGAGCUCUACGACGGCGAGGCCGACGACUUCGACGCCGCCGUCGACGCCUCCCUCGACGAGUUCUCCAGCCGCGUCCAGGCCGCCCUCACCGCCGCCGACCGGCCCUUUGAUCCGCGGGAUUUCCUCGCCUCGCUCCAGGAUUUGGCCGCCGACCGCAUGGGCUUCAGCAACCGGGUGCAGGCCGCCAUCACCAAGGCGCAUCUCAGGGCCUUUGAUGAGUUCAGGGGCCUGCCUGACCCCCCUAUGUACACCUUGGAGCUCGGUAUAGCGAAUGCUGAUGCUUUGGCCGCUCCUUCCCCCAUGGAUCGGGGCAGGAGGAGCGCAAGGGAGGUUAACUGCGACUCGUCGGCGACCCCGCCAUCCCGGAGGAAGAGGAAGGAGGAGGUCCAGGAGGCCGAUUCCGAUGAGGACUGGGACCCGCGCAAGAAGGGUGCCAGUGACUCUGAUACUGAUGUGGACAUUGGGCGUAGGAGGGCCCGGAGGGGCAGGGGUAGCGGUAGCGCCGCACCACGCAGCGGCGGGACUGGGAGGCCACGUGGGAGGCCUAGGAAAACGGAUUCUGAGGUGAAGGAUGAUGAGGUGGAAGAGAAAAUAGAGUAUCCACCGGCCGCCGAAUUGUUGCUUCAGCUUACAUCAGUUGCUUCUGAUCCAUUCAAUUUCAAGGGUUAUGAUUCUGUGGAUGUGAUCUUUAGCUUCUUCGCAAAACACAAGGACUCGAAAGCGCCGAGCGAGUUAGAUGAUAAAGAGCUGUUGGAGAUAUUUGGUGGUAAGAAAGGAAGGAAAAAGUCCGUUGGAAGUUUUACCAAGGCGAAACAUGAGAUUGAGGCAGAACAAUUGGAGUUGGAGACGGCGGAUGGCCAGAGGGGCAGGAGGAAAUCCGCGGGGGGCAUCUACUCGGCUCGAAAGGCGGAAGAUUCUUACUGGUGUGACAUUAUCAUCAGCGAUUUCGACGAUGGAGAUGCAUCAAGUGAUUAUGAAGGCCGCAAAAGGAAGCGAGUGUCUCAGAAUAGGAAUGGCAAUAAGAAGACGAAGCAGGAAGUGGCACCUCAAGAUGAGGCUUCUACUGAUAAGAAACCAGCAGAUGGUCCAGCAGCUUUGAUUCUAUACUUUGGUAGUGCAGAAUCCAUUCCUUCAGUGGAUCGUAUCAACAAUGUGUUCCGUGCUCAUGGAGCGAUCAUCGAGGGUCAGACUGAGAUCACCAAGAAGUCAAAGACUGCAAAAGUAGUCUUCUCUAACCAUGCUGAUGCGGAGCAAGCCUAUAGCACUUCAGGAAAGUACAAUGCUUUUGGUCCAGCACUUCUCACAUAUGAAAUUAAAUACCUGCCAUCUGCUCCUCAAAUUCCUUAG
rnacentral:rRNA from 1 species